rnacentral:rRNA from 1 species
CAGUCGCCGCGGUAAAACGAAGGAUGCAAGCGUUACUCGGAAUUACUGGGCGUAAAGCGUGCGUAGGUGGUGGUUUAAGUCCGUUGUGAAAGCCCUGGGCUCAACCUGGGAAUUGCAGUGGAUACUGGGUCACUAGAGUGUGGUAGAGGAUAGUGGAAUUUCCGGUGUAGCAGUGAAAUGCGUAGAGAUCGGAAGGAACAUCUGUGGCGAAGGCGACUAUCUGGGCCAACACUGACACUGAGGCACGAAAGCGUGGGGAGCAAACAGGAUUAGAGACCCCCGUAGUCCCUGUCUCUUAUAA